ACUCAAAUGAAUAGACGGGGGCCCGCACAAGCAGCGGAGCGUGUGGAUUAAUUCGAUGCGACGCGCAGAACCUUACCUGGGCUUGACAUGCUGCUGUCGUACUGACCCGAAAGGGGAGGGACCCGCAAGGGAGGCAGCACAGGUGCUGCAUGGCUGUCGUCAGCUCGUGCCGUGAGGUGUUGGGUUAAGUCCCGCAACGAGCGCAACCCUCGUCCCCAGUUGUGGUUUCUGGGGAGACUGCCGGGCGAACCCCGGAGGAAGGUGGGGAUGACGUCAAGUCCGCAUGGCCCUCACGUCCAGGGCGUCACACACGCUACAAUGGCCGGUACAAUGGGCUGCUCCUCGGCGACGAGUUGCCAAUCCCGCAAAACCGGCCUCAGUUCGGAUCGUAGGCUGCAACCCGCCUACGUGAAGCCGGAGUUGCUAGUAACCGCGCGUCAGCACAGUGCGGUGAAUGCGUUCCCGGGCCUUGUACACACCGCCCGU
rnacentral:rRNA from 1 species